rnacentral:lncRNA from 9 species
CGGGGCGGGCGGAGGACUUUGCCGAGCGUCGGGCUCAGCGCGGGGCUGAGUCGGGCCAGCGGGUACUUUCGAGGGCUUCUCUACAGCCAGGUAAGCGCGCCCCGGGACCGCCGCUUUCUGCCCACGCCUAGCUUGGCCGUGACCGUGGCCGCGUCCGGCUGGCUCUGGGUCCGCCUUCGCCUCUCCCGCUCUGCACUAGAGCCAUUCCUUCUGAGGGGCGCGGCCGGGCCCGGGUGGGGUGGGAGACGGCUCCGGCCUCGUGGCCAGGCCGCUGGUCGCGCUGUCUCCGCCCCGGGGCCGGCCUUGCCGGGUCCCUACCCCCGGUCGUGCCUCCGCCGCCCGCCUCAGCCCCGCCUCGCCGACCUGCUUCGCGGCGCCUUUCUCCCUGCCGGCCCCCCCCCGCCCCCCACGGACGCGGCUGCUACGCGUCGGUGCCCGCGAGCUCCCGGGGACCAUGCGGCGGCCCUGGCCCGCGACACGGCUGGCUGCGCGGGCCGGCCGGGCGCGCGGACUGAUGCCCUUGGCCAUGACACACCCCCAGCUGCUGUCCACUCAGCCACAGCCUGCGUGACUGGGUCGUCGCUGCUCCAGCCAUUUCACGUCACCGUUCCCUUUAUGAACGUAAGUGCUCGCAGUCAUUCUUCCGUCCUCAAGAUGCCAAGUCUCCUCCCACCCUCCUGCGCCGUUGGCACAGCCAGCCUUGGUCCCUGUGUGCCUGGGAGGUCGGGAAUCCCUAUUCAGUGGCCUGAAAGGGGAGUUGGCCCUCCGACAGCCUCACGUUUGGAGCUGGCCUCUGCCCCCUGAGCCCCCAUUAGUGGGACUCAUCUCCCCAGCCUGGCCCCAAACUUCCUGGCACAAGAAUGCACCUGCAUGCCUCUGGGCUCAUCUUGCCCUUGUUUUCCACAAGAGUUGGAAAGAGAGGAGAGACACUCCCUGCAAUCCACUGCCCUCCUACCCACAAAAGGAGUGUGGGUUGGAGCCAGGGCAGGACCCGAUGGAACUUUCGAGGGGCAGACCUGUCCCCUCCACCUGGGUCAAGGCUCAGGGACCAUUGGUAUUUGCACCUCAGAGGGCAGUGAUUAAGAGCGUGGCCAUGGGGUGAAGUAGGCUGGGUGGAAUCUCAGCCAAAUCAAUCAAAGUCUCCGUUCACUAUGAGUGAAGGAGGGAUAAUUAAUAACUGCUCCAGGGAGUUCCCGUCGUGCCUCAGUGGUUAAUGAAUCCGAGUAGGAACCAUGAGGUUGCGGGUUCAAUCCCUGGCCUUCCUCAGUGGGUUAAGGAUCUGGUGUGGCUGUGAGCUGUGGUGUAGGUCGCAGACGCGGCUCGGAUCCCAAGUUGCUGUGGCUCUGGCGUAGGCUGGUGGCUACAGCUCUGAUUCAACCCCUAGCCUGGGAACCUCCAUAUGCCGCGGGUGUGGCCCUAGAAAAAG